rnacentral:rRNA from 1 species
AGUGAACGCUGGCGGCAGGCCUAAUACAUGCAAGUCGAACGGCAGCACGGCAGAGCUUGCUCUGUGGGUGGCGAGUGGCGGACGGGUGAGGAAUACAUGGGAAUCUGCCCAGUCGUGGGGGAUAACGUAGGGAAACUUACGCUAAUACCGCAUGCGCCCUUCGGGGGAAAGCCGGGGACCUUCGGGCCUGGCGCGAUUGGAUGAGCCCAUGUCGGAUUAGCUAGUUGGCGGGGUAAUGGCCCACCAAGGCGACGAUCCGUAGCUGGUCUGAGAGGAUGAUCAACCACACUGGAACUGAGACACGGUCCAGACUCCUACGGGAGGCAGCAGUAGGGAAUAUUGGACAAUGGGCGCAAGCCUGAUCCAGCCAUGCCGCGUGAGUGAAGAAGGCCCUCGGGUUGUAAAGCUCUUUUGUCCGGAAAGAAAAGCGCCGGGUUAAUACCCUGGUGUCCUGACGGUGCCGGAAGAAUAAGCACCGGCUAACUUCGUGCCAGCAGCCGUACGG